UACGGAGGGGGCUAGCGUUGUUCGGAAUUAUUGGGCGUAAAGGGCGCGUAGGCGGCCGAAUAAGUCUGACGUGAAAUCCCCCGGCCCAACCGGGGAACUGCGUUUGAUACUGUUUGGCUCGAGUCCGGGAGAGGGUAGUGGAAUUCCCAGUGUAGCGGUGAAAUGCGUAGAUAUUGGGAGGAACACCGGUGGCGAAGGCGACUACCUGGCCUGUUCUUGACGCUGAGGCGCGAAAGCUAGGGGAACAAACGGG
rnacentral:rRNA from 1 species